rnacentral:rRNA from 1 species
AACGAACGCUGGCGGCAGGCUUAACACAUGCAAGUCGAACGGUUGUAGCAAUACAGCAGUGGCAGACGGGUGAGUAACACGUGGGAACCUUCCUAGGGGUACGGAACAACUCAGGGAAACUUGAGCUAAUACCGUAUACGUCCGUGAGGAGAAAGAUUUAUCGCCCUUAGACGGGCCCGCGUAGGAUUAGGUAGUUGGUGGGGUAAUGGCCUACCAAGCCUACGAUCCUUAGCUGAUCUGAGAGGANGAUCAGCCACACUGGGACUGAGACGCGGCCCAGACUCCUACGGGAGGCAGCAGUGGGGAAUCUUGGACAAUGGGCGCAAGCCUGAUCCAGCCAUGCCGCGUGAGUGAAGAAGGCCUUCGGUUGUUAA